AACCUUUACAAUGCACGCAAGUGUGAUAAGGGAACCCUAAGUGCUGAUACUUUGUAUCAGCUUUUGCCAAGAGUAAAUAUCUUGGCGAAUAAGUGGUGGGCAAUACCUGUGCCAGCCGCCGCGGUAACCCAGGAGCCACAAGUGGCAACCAGUUUUAUUGGGCCUAAAGCGUCCGUAGCCUGUUUGGUAAAUCUUCUGUGAAAUCGUUGUGCUCAACAUAACGGCAUGCAGAAGACACUGCCAGACUUGGGACCGGGAGGAGUCAGAGGUAUUUUGGGGGGAGCGGUAAAAUGCUAUAAUCCCCGAAGGACCACCUGUGGCGAAGGCGUCUGACUAGAACGGAUCCGACGGUGAGGGACGAAAGCUAGGGGAGCAAUCCGG
rnacentral:rRNA from 1 species